AUUGAACGCUGGCGGCAGGCUUAACACAUGCAAGUCGAGCGAGCGGCGGACGGGUGAGUAAUGUCUGGGAAACUGCCUGAUGGAGGGGGAUAACUACUGGAAACGGUAGCUAAUACCGCAUACCAUCAGAUGUGCCCAGAUGGGAUUAGCUAGUAGGUGGGGUAAUGGCUCACCUAGGCGACGAGCCCUAGCUGGGCUGAGAGGAUGACCAGCCACACUGGAACGGAGACACGGUCAGGAUUCCUACGGGAGGCAGCAUUGGGGAAUAUUGCACAAGGGGGGAAGGCUUGAUGCGGCCAUGCCGCGUGUGUGAAGAAGGCCUUCGGGUUGUAAAGCACUUUCAGCGAGGAGGCGUUACUCGCAGAAGAAGCACCGGCUAACUCCGUGCCAGCAGCCGCGGUAAUUC
rnacentral:rRNA from 1 species